AGAGUUUGAUCCUGGCUCAGAUUGAACGCUGGCGGCAUGGCUAAAACAUGCAAGUCGAACGAACCCGCAAGGGUUAGUGGCGGAAGGGUGAGUAAAAGUAUCGAAUGUACCCCGAGGUGGGGGAUAGGCACGGGAAACUGUGCGUAAUACCUCAUGAUCUCGAAAGAGCAAAGCUACGGCGCCUUGGGAGCAGCGAUAUACCUAUCAGGUAGUUGGCGGGGUAAUAGCCCACCAAGCCGAAGACGGGUAGCGGGUGUGAGAGCACGGCCCGCCACAUCGGGACUGAGACACUGCCCGGACUCCUACGGGAGGCUGCAGUAACGAAUAUUCCGCAAUGCGCGAAAGCGUGACGGAGCAAUGCCGCGUGCAGGAUGAAGCAGCUUCGCUGUGUAAACUGCUGUCAGGGGCUACUAACUAUGAAGAGCCCCAGAGGAAGGACCGGCUAAUCUCGUGCCAGCAGCCGCGGUAAUACGAGAGGUCCAAGCGUUAGUCGGAAUUACUGGGCUUAAAGGGUGCGUAGGCGGGCUUGUAAGUGUUUUGUGAAAUCCCAUGGCUCAACCAUGGAAUCGCAGGGCAUACUGCAAGCCUCGAGGAAGCUAGAGGCCGGUGGAACGAUAGGUGGAGCGGUGGAAUGCGUAGAUAUCUAUCGGAACGCCAAAGGUGAAGACAGCCGGCUGGGGCUUUCCUGACGCUGAGGCACGAAAGCGUGGGGAUCAAACAGGAUUAGAUACCCCAGUAGUCC
rnacentral:rRNA from 1 species